UACGUAGGGUGCGAGCGUUAAUCGGAAUUACUGGGCGUAAAGCGUGCGCAGGCGGUUCGUCGUGUCCGAUGUGAAAGCCCCGGGCUCAACCUGGGAAUGGCAUUGGAAACUGGCGGACUCGAGUGUGGCAGAGGGGGGUGGAAUUCCGCGUGUAGCAGUGAAAUGCGUAGAUAUCGUGAGGAAGACCAGUGGCGAAGGCGGGGCUCUGGACAGUUCCUGACACUGAGGCACGAAGGCCAGGGGAGCAAACGGG
rnacentral:rRNA from 1 species